CCUCUGAGCCAGGUGCCGGAUAUAAUCUCGUGGUGCGCCGUUUUUUAAGCCGGUCCGAAAAGCCAAUAUUCGGGUGGGAGUGACCCGAUUUUCCAGAAAUAGAUGACAAGAGGGUGCCCAACACACAAGGGGAAUUACAGAAUGCAUCCCCUAAGCAAAGGAAGCAGAGUGUGUACACGCCACCCACCAUAAAAGGGGUUAAGCAUCUGAAAGGCCAGAAUGAAUCAGCGUUCCCUGAAGAAGAAGAAGGCACCAAUGAAAGAGAGGAGCAGCGGGACCAUUAAUUACUGGUCUGCAGCAAGAAGCCUUCUUGGAAAUAACUGAACUAUUAACUUUUCUGAGUAUACCAUGGAAUUCCACUGCUUGACUUCCAGAAGCAUCCUCCAUCUCUGCACCCCACACUCAUACAGUAGCUAUGCACAUCCUGGAAGUCUCCUUGACUGAACUUUAGAACUAAGUACACAUUGUUCCACAUCACUUAUAAUUAAAGAAUAAGCAUU
rnacentral:sRNA from 1 species